GCCUACCAUGGUGGUAACGGGUAACGGGGUGUUAGGGCACGACACCGGAGAGGGAGCCUGAGAAACGGCUACCACAUCCAAGGAUGGCAGCAGGCGCGCAAAUUACCCAAUCCCGACACGGGGAGGUAGUGACAAUAAAUAACAAUACGGGGUUCUUUCGGAUUUCGUAAUUGGAAUGAGUACAAUUUAAAUCUCUUAACGAGGAACAACUGGAGGGCAAGUCUGGUGCCAGCAGCCGCGGUAAUUCCAGCUCCAAUAGCGUAUAUUAAAGUUGUUGCAGUUAAAAAGCUCGUAGUUGAAUUUCGGGAUCAAUACGUCGGUCGUACCUCGGUACGUACUGACGUCAUUGAUUUCUCCCUUCUGACGAACCAUGAUGCCAUUAACUUGGUGUUAUGGGAAAUCAGGACUGUUACUUUGAAAAAAUUAGAGUGUUUAAAGCAGGCUCACGCUUGAAUACAUUAGCAUGGAAUAAUGAAAUAGGACGUUCGAUCCUAUUUUGUUGGUUUUUAGGAUCAACGUAAUGAUUAAUAGGGAUAGUUGGGGGCAUUAGUAUUCAAUUGUCAGAGGUGAAAUUCUUGGAUUUAUUGAAGACUAACUACUGCGAAAGCAUUUGCCAAGGAUGUUUUCAUUAAUCAAGAACGAAAGUUAGGGGAUCGAAGACGAUCAGAUACCGUCGUAGUCUUAACCAUAAACUAUGCCGACUAGGGAUCGGAUGAUGUUAAUUAUUUAAUGACUCAUUCGGCGCCUUACG
rnacentral:rRNA from 1 species